UAGGGAAUCUUGCGCAAUGGGCGAAAGCCUGACGCAGCAACGCCGCGUGCGGGAUGAAGGCCUUCGGGUUGUAAACCGCUUUCAGCAGGGACGAAAAUGACGGUACCUGCAGAAGAAGCCCCGGCCAACUACGUGCCAGCAGCCGCGGUAACACGUAGGGGGCGAGCGUUGUCCGGAUUUAUUGGGCGUAAAGAGCUCGUAGGCGGUUCGGUAAGUCAGGCGUGAAAACUCAGGGCUCAACCCUGAGACGCCGCCUGAUACUGCUGUGACUGGAGUCCGGUAGAGGAGCGUGGAAUUCCUGGUGUAGCGGUGAAAUGCGCAGAUAUCAGGAGGAACACCGACGGCGAAGGCAGCGCUCUGGGCCGGUACUGACGCUGAGGAGCGAAAGCAUGGGGAGCGAACAGGAUUAGAUACCCCCGUAGUCC
rnacentral:rRNA from 1 species